AGGAGCAGGUGGGUCACACCGAGGACAGUGUGAACCAAGAGAAGACCUGAGAGGAGACAGACAGGUUUAGAAAGGAGAUGUGAGACUAGAGAAUAGAGGAGGCUGGCAUCUGAUUAGCAAAAAUGCCUCCUGCCAUGGAACCUGGAAUGCUAAAAGCCACCCUGUGGCAGUCUGCCAUGCAGGCCAAGCAUUCUUCCCCCUCAAUUCCCCAAUAGCUCAAGAUGAACUCCAACACCAGCAGUGUCCUUAUCUUCUCAGGAGACCUGCUGCCUCGCUCCACCAGUCACUGGAAAACAUGAUUCUGAGACUUUGGAAGCAAGUCUCGAUGUCACACUCCAAUUGUUUUUAGAGCAUCAAUCAUUCAAAAAGAAGAAAUUGGUGAUCCAGUGAGGGGAAGCCAGCUGCCAUCCUGUGAAGACAUUCAAAUGGCCUUGUGGAGAGAUACACGUGGCAAGCAACUAUGGCCUCCUGCGAGUGGUCCGCAUGGGGCAGCCAUGUAAGUGAGCUGCCUUGGAGCUUCAUCUUCACUCUUACUUCACCCCUCUAACUCAGGCCCCUGCCAACCCUUCAGACGACUGUGGCUCCUGACAACGUGUUGAGUCCUGCUGAACAAUGACCCUGGACCAGACCCAUCACCCAGCCAAGCUGCUUCUCAAACUCCCACUUGGUAAAAGAAUAAUAAAUGGUUAUUUUAAGCUGCCAA